rnacentral:rRNA from 1 species
GCCAGACUCCUACGGGAGGCAGCAGUGGGGGAUAUUGCACAAUGGGGGGAACCCUGAUGCAGCGACGCCGCGUGGGUGAAGGAGCGUUUCGGCGCGUAAAGCCCUAUCGGCAGGGAAGAAGGAGGACGGUACCUGACUAAGAAGCCCCGGCUAACUCCGUGCCAGCAGCCGCGGUAAUACGUAGGGGGCAAGCGUUAUCCGGAUUUACUGGGUGUAAAGGGGGCGCAGACGGCAGCGCAAGCCAGGAGUGAAAGCCCGGGGCCCAACCCCGGGACUGCUCUUGGAACUGCGCGGCUGGAGUGCAGGAGGGGCAGGCGGAAUUCCUGGUGUAGCGGUGAAAUGCGUAGAUAUCAGGAGGAACACCGGUGGCGAAGGCGGCCUGCUGGACUGCGACUGACGUUGAGGCCCGAAAGCGUGGGGAGCAAACAGGAUUAGAUACCCCAGUAUA